AGUCGAACGAAGCCUUCGGGCUUAGUGGCGAACGGGUGAGUAACACGUGGGAAUCUACCUUUGAGUUGGGAAUAACCAUUGGAAACGAUGGCUAAUACCCAAUACGUCCUUCGGGAGAAAGAUUUAUCGCUCAGAGAUGAGCCCGCGUCCAAUUAGCUAGUUGGUGGGGUAAUGGCCCACCAAGGCGACGAUUGGUAGCUGUUCUGAGAGGAAGAUCAGCCACACUGGAACUGAGACACGGUCCAGACUCC
rnacentral:rRNA from 1 species